rnacentral:tRNA from 1 species
GCCGCGCUGGUGUAGCGGAUAGCACACCGCGCUACGAAUGCGGAAGCCGAGGUUCGAUUCCUCGUCGCGGCA